UACGGGGGGAGCAAGCGUUGUUCGGAUUUACUGGGCGUAAAGGGCGCGUAGGCGGCUUGUCAAGUCACUUGUGAAAUCUCUGGGCUUAACCCAGAACGGCCAGUGAAACUGACAUGCUAGAGUGCAGAAGGGCAAUCGAAUCUUGGUGUAGCGGUGAAAUGCGUAGAUAUCAAGAGGAACACCUGAGGUGAAGACGGGUUGCUGGGCUGACACUGACGCUGAGGCGCGAAAGCCAGGGGAGCAAACGGG
rnacentral:rRNA from 1 species